GGGGAUGUUCGGUUUUGACAGCAUCGACUGUGGAAGGUAAGCACGCCGGGCGUCGGAGGUUUGCCCGUUAAUCUCAGCCUUCAAGCCAUUAACUGGCAACUACAACUAUUCGUACGCUUGCUAAUCUCAGAGAGAUUGAGCAUUAACCGGAUCCGCCAAGGCUGCGGGACUGGCGUAUAUCCCUCCGGGCUUUAAGCCGGUUAUGACCGGGUCAAGGGGUAUUAUUCAAACCGGACGCACGGAGCCGCCGCCCCCACGCUCCGCCAAGACAAGGGGAUAAGGGAAUGGUCAGGGUGUCCUUCCUCAUCCGUUCUCCGACAAUCAAAGAAGGAAUAAGCGUGUAGAAAGCUUUUUGCUGCGUUGUUUGGACGGCGGUUCGACUCCGCCCAUCUCCACA
rnacentral:tmRNA from 1 species